AGCUUCUAUGAGGUAUAUUAAGCAAAAGUUGUUGCGGUUAAAAAGCUCCUACAUAGUUGGAUCUCGGGAGUGGGUGGUUUGCUCUUCAGCGCUACUGCCCCCCUUCUUUGCCCGUGUGAUUGGCAGAGUUUCGGGGUGCUCUUCGUUGAGUGACUCGGAGCGCCGUCAGGUUUACUUUGAAAGAAUUAGUGCUCAAAGCAGGCUUUUCACGCUUGAAUAUUCGUGCAUGGAAUAAUGGAAUAGGAACUCGUUUCUAUUUGGUUGGUUUUCGGAAAUCGAGCUAAUGAUUAACAGGGGGGCAUUAGUACUCAAACGACAAAGGUGGAAUUCUUGGACCGUCUGAAGACUGACUACUGUGAAAGUGUUUGCCAAAAUUGUUUUCA
rnacentral:rRNA from 1 species